rnacentral:rRNA from 1 species
UGCAAGUCGANGAUGAUGCCCAGCUUGCUGGGUGGAUUAGUGGCGAACGGGUGAGUAACACGUGAGUAACCUGCCCCUGACUCUGGGAUAAGCGUUGGAAACGACGUCUAAUACUGGAUAUGAUCACUGGCCGCAUGGUCUGGUGGUGGAAAGAUUUUUUGGUUGGGGAUGGACUCGCGGCCUAUCAGCUUGUUGGUGAGGUAAUGGCUCACCAAGGCGACGACGGGUAGCCGGCCUGAGAGGGUGACCGGCCACACUGGGACUGAGACACGGCCCAGACUCCUACGGGAGGCAGCAGUGGGGAAUAUUGCACAAUGGGCGAAAGCCUGAUGCAGCAACGCCGCGUGAGGGAUGACGGCCUUCGGGUUGUAAACCUCUUUUAGUAGGGAAGAAGCGAAAGUGACGGUACCUGCAGAAAAAGCACCGGCUAACUACGUGCCAGCAGCCGCGGUAAUACGUAGGGUGCAAGCGUUGUCCGGAAUUAUUGGGCGUAAAGAGCUCGUAGGCGGUUUGUCGCGUCUGCUGUGAAAUCCCGAGGCUCAACCUCGGGCUUGCAGUGGGUACGGGCAGACUAGAGUGCGGUAGGGGAGAUUGGAAUUCCUGGUGUAGCGGUGGAAUGCGCAGAUAUCAGGAGGAACACCGAUGGCGAAGGCAGAUCUCUGGGCCGUAACUGACGCUGAGGAGCGAAAGCAUGGGGAGCG